rnacentral:rRNA from 1 species
UACGAAGGGGGCUAGCGUUGCUCGGAAUGGCUGGGCGUAAAGGGCGCGUAGGCGGAUGGCACAGUCAGAUGUGAAAUUCCCGGGCUUAACCUGGGGGCUGCAUUUGAUACGUGUUGUCUAGAGUGAGGAAGAGGGUUGUGGAAUUCCCAGUGUAGAGGUGAAAUUCGUAGAUAUUGGGAAGAACACCGGUGGCGAAGGCGGCAACCUGGUCCUUGACUGACGCUGAGGCGCGAAAGCUAGGGGAGCAAACAGG